CUGAACGUCUAUGAUUAAUUGAUUGUGUCUUCUGUUGGCUACACCCCUAUGAAACUGUAUUUGUUUCAUAUAUACGCUGUACCCGCAUUAAAUAAGCCACAAUUUUUCUGGAACUUCGGAAUCAGGCACCUCUCUAAUUAGGCGAGUUAGGCGGCCGCUUAAAUUGCCAUAGGGCAGACUAACAUGUCGGGUUCUCAGUCUAUGACAGAGGACCUGGCACAGGAGAGGAC